UUGAAGAUUGGCAACUCUGUAUCUAGGUAUCUGGGAAGAUCCUGGCUUAUGGAAGACAGACAACGCCAUUUUCUAGCUGCCUUUGCUGACUCAGGAGCCUGAAGUUUCUGACCUUGGAUUGGUCAGGAUUGGCUUUUUUUUGAGACAGGGUCUCAUUAAGUAGUCCAAGCUAGCCUUGAAUUCACUAUGGAGCAAAGGUUGGCCUUGAACUUGUGAUCCUCCAACUUCAGCCCUGGUGUACUGGAAUUACAGGUAUAGAAUUCAACAAUAAACUUUGUUUGCAUUCAUGUAAUCAGGAAGAGAGGGUGUUGGUGAGCAAAGACUGUGGAACAGAAGAGAAAGGGAAGGGACCCUUCUGUUCAGAGCUCAGAUCAGGAGAAAAGGAGGUGGUGAGUGUCCAAGACCUGAGGAGAGCCAGAGAUGCUAAGCACCAAGGAGUUCAGCAUGAAGGAGCGACUAGAACAGAUCCCCUCUGAAGCAGCUGGGGGCUCAUCUGAGAAACUUCUCAUCCUUGAGGAGUGGUCAGCUAGGAGAGGAAGAAGGGAUGGUGUGGAGCCCACCCAUGGCCUAAGGAGCCAGUGUAGUCCACAGCCUGUGGGACCAGGAGCCUCCAGGUGGGCGACUCAAGAAGAAUCGAUGCUUCAGCCCCCAGCGACAUGUACACGGUGUAAUGACAGAUGGUGAUGCAUGUUCUCUGGAAACAGCUUGGCUGGGGCUCACCAGCUGGGUUAUGGAGUCAGCAGUCACUUACAGUUCUGGGGGCUGACUUCAGCCAGUUCCUGAAGCUCCCUGAGCCUUACUGAAAGUGGGACUAAUAAUUUCUAUCUUACUGGGUAACUAUGAAAAUGAAAAUAAAUAAUGAAUAAUUGCUCGGUGAAACUUGGUGUUGAGAAAUACUUCUUUUUAUUUUCCCUACAUCAAAUGAAAAUAAAUCUAAAGUCUUACUAAGUUUCCUAGCAGGCAUUUCUGUAGCUCUGUCUCCACCUUUCUAGUGCAUGAGAAACUUGGGGGUUUGGCAGGUGAGGAAAAAUGGGGAGAGUUGAGUGAGGCCUGCACCUAAGCCUACUGUGCUAGAGCUGCCCUUGGCCCUCCUGACGCAGCCACGUGUGGUUAUCUGGAGGAGGCAACCCCAGCAGCUGGCUUCAGUGCCUUGAUGCCAGCUCUGCCAUGGAAGAUGCUGGGCCCUGGCCAUCGUCUCAGGGGUGUCUACAUCCCCCAAGUGCAUUCCAGAGUGGUAAAAGUUGCAGGGC
rnacentral:lncRNA from 1 species